UACGUAGGGGGCAAGCGUUGUCCGGAAUUAUUGGGCGUAAAGCGCGCGCAGGCGGCUUUGUAAGUCUGGUGUUUAAGCUCGGGGCUCAACCCCGAUACGCAUCGGAAACUGCCAGGCUUGAGUGCAGAAGAGGAAGUGGAAUUCCACGUGUAGCGGUGAAAUGCGUAGAGAUGUGGAGGAACACCAGUGGCGAAGGCGACUUUCUGGGCUGUAACUGACGCUGAGGCGCGAAAGCGUGGGGAGCAAACAGG
rnacentral:rRNA from 1 species